CCAGGCUUCUUGGAAGACUUCAAACUAUGCCAAAUGGUCUGAUUUCACCAUAGAGCUGCUGUUUUGGCUCUGAACUCAAUCCGAUAAGCUUGCUGGAGGUAUCGCAGAGCACUUGGCAGCUUUCCUAUUUGAAAAGAAAGCCUCUCCCCUCUACAGAACAGCUGAUCGUCUAUCAGCGAUAGACCCUGAUGGCGUGAAUUAC
ensembl:lncRNA PSMD14-DT PSMD14 divergent transcript